rnacentral:sRNA from 1 species
GCUUAGCCCUGAUUGCAAUGGAAAUCCUUUUACUUUUUUCUUUAAAAAGGAAAAGAUUGAAAUGGAAAGCAGGAAUAGCU